rnacentral:rRNA from 1 species
AUUGAACGCUGGCGGCAUGCCUUACACAUGCAAGUCGAACGGCAGCACGGGCUUCGGUCUGGUGGCGAGUGGCGAACGGGUGAGUAAUGUAUCGGAACGUACCAUUGAGUGGGGGAUAACGUAGCGAAAGUUACGCUAAUACCGCAUAUUCUCCCCGGAGGAAAGCAGGGGACCGCAAGGCCUUGCGCUCUUUGAGCGGCCGAUAUCAGAUUAGCUAGUUGGUGGGGUAAAAGCUCACCAAGGCGACGAUCUGUAGCGGGUCUGAGAGGAUGAUCCGCCACACUGGAACUGAGGCACGGUCCAGACUCCUACGGGAGGCAGCAGUGGGGAAUUUUGGACAAUGGGGGCAACCCUGAUCCAGCCAUGCCGCGUGAGUGAAGAAGGCCUUCGGGUUGUAAAGCUCUUUCGGCCGGGAAAAAAUCGCAUGGAUUAAUACUCUGUGUGGAUGAUGGUACCGGAAUAAGAAGCACCGGCUAACUACGUGCCAGCCGCCGCGGUAAAAC